rnacentral:rRNA from 1 species
GACGAACGCUGGCGGCGUGCCUAACACAUGCAAGUCGAACGGGGAUAUGAUUUCGGUUGUAUCCCAGUGGCGAACGGGUGAGUAACGCGUGAGCAACCUGUCCUUUUGAGGGGGAUAACACUUGGAAACAGGUGCUAAUACCGCAUAAGACCACGGGUCCGCAUGGACCAGAGGUCAAAGGAGCAAUCCGCAGAAGGAGGGGCUCGCGUCCCAUUAGGUAGAUGGCGGGGUAACGGCCCACCAUGCCUUCGAUGGGUAGCCGAGCUGAGAGGCUGAUCGGCCACACUGGAACUGAGACACGGUCCAGACUCCUACGGGAGGCAGCAGUGGGGAAUAUUGGGCAAUGGGCGAAAGCCUGACCCAGCAACGCCGCGUGAGGGAAGAAGGCCUUCGGGUUGUAAACCUCUGUCCUUGGUGACGAAAAAAAUGACGGUAGCCAAGGAGGAAGCCCCGGCUAACUACGUG